rnacentral:misc_RNA from 1 species
CUGAAUUGUCAAACACGGGUUGUUGCUGGUCCCCUGACGGGGGCAUGUGCACGCUCUGUUUACACAUCCACUUCACACCUGUGCACCCUCUGUAGUUCUAUGGUCUGGGGGACCCUGUCCUCCUUCUGUAGCUCUAUGUUUUUACACACACACUGUAACGAUGUCUUGUGGACUGCUUUCUGCGUUUAACGCAAUACAAUA